rnacentral:rRNA from 1 species
UACGUAGGGUGCAAGCGUUGUCCGGAAUUAUUGGGCGUAAAGAGCUCGUAGGCGGUCUGUCGCGUCGGCUGUGAAAACCUGGGGCUUAACUCCGGGCUUGCAGCCGAUACGGGCAGACUAGAGUUCGGCAGGGGAGACUGGAAUUCCUGGUGUAGCGGUGAAAUGCGCAGAUAUCAGGAGGAACACCGGUGGCGAAGGCGGGUCUCUGGGCCGUAACUGACGCUGAGGAGCGAAAGCGUGGGGAGCGAACAGG